CCCACAACUCCUAGGAAAGCCUUGUCAAAUAUGUGUUUCUUUAGGUUCAUGGUACAGAGGAAGGGUCACACUACCACCAGGGUCAUAAAACUACUCCUGGAAAUGCCCACAACUCCUAGGAAAGCCUUGUCAAAUAUGUGUUUCUUUAGGUUCAUGGUACAGAAGAAGGGUCACACUACCACCAGGGUCAUAAAACUACCCCUGGAAAUGCCCACAACUCCUAGGAAAGCCUUGUCAAAUAUGUGUUUCUUUAGGUUCAUGGUACAGAGGAAGGGUCACACUACCACCAGGGUCAUAAAACUACUCCUGGAAAUGCCCACAACUCCUAGGAAAGCCUUGUCAAAUAUGUGUUUCUUUAGGUUCAUGGUACAGAAGAAGGGUCACACUACCACCAGGGUCAUAAAACUACUCCUGGAAAUGCCCACAACUCCUAGGAAAGCCUUGUCAAAUGUGUGUUUUUGGAUGACGAAAUGACGUCUAAUACAACCCUUGGUGCCUUGCCGACUGUCUGGGAUAUUUGGCGAACUAGCUGCCAACAUGUCUUGCUAACCCUCACGACCCCAGACUCCCGUUACGACAUCGGCGCAGCAUUCGGCAAAUCUCAAGACCUCUUUCAAAACAUGCCCGACCCUUUCACAUCAACACCCAAGACCUCGUGUACCCUAGAGUCAUGGCCCAGAGUCGGCACUGUGUGAACGGGGCUUAAAGGCUCAAACUCUGUCACCAGUGAAAUGACACGAAAGUUAAAUCGCAGUGAAAUAUUCCUUAACCCGGUAGCAGCGAUGGGCCAAAUUUGUGGCUUCACCGUGUAGCAGCGACGGGCCAAAUUUGUGGCUUUACCGUGUAGCAGCGACGGGCCAAAUUUGUGGCUUCACCAUGUAGCAGCGACGGGCCAAAUUUGUGGCUUUACCGUGUAGCAGCGAUGGGCCAAAUUUGUGGCUUCACCGUGUAGCAGCGACGGGCCAAAUUUGUGGCUUUACCGUGUAGCAGCGACGGGCCAAAUUUGUGCCAUGAUAUAAACCCCCAAAAAUAGAUGAUACAUAAUCUGAUCACAAAUGCUUUGAUAUAUAUUAUGAAAUGGUUUGCGUGAGGGGUGAUUUUUCUCAUUUUUCUCACUCGGAGGGACCAUUAAGAAACAUGGUCCCAAAUGCUUUGAUAUAUAUUAUGAAAUGGUUUGCGUGAGGGGUGAUUUUUUCUCAUUUUUCUCGCUCGGAGGGACCAUUAAGAAACAUGGUCCCAAAUGCUUUGAUAUAUAUUAUGAAAUGGUUUGCGUGAGGGGUGAUUUUUCUCAUUUUUCUCACUCGGAGGGACCAUUAAGAAACAUGAUCCCAAAUGCUUUGAUAUAUAUUAUGAAAUGGUUUGCGUGAGGGGUGAUUUUUCUCAUUUUUCUCACUCGGAGGGACCAUUAAGAAACAUGAUCCCAAAUGCUUUGAUAUAUAUUAUGAAAUGGUU